UGAACACAAAGUCAUCUUGCGACUAACUGUGAAGAUGAAGUUCCUAAUCCUCCUCUUUCUUGUCGGGCUCCUGGCGAUGGAGUCAGCUGUUCAAGGUCAAUAUUACUACCCACCAUACUAUUACAAUUGGCCUUAUCAACACAAUGGUCGGUGGUGGGGUGGUGCUUACUAGGAUCCCAAGGGAGCAACUGCAGCUCAGGCUGCCUUCCCAGAGCAGAACCUUUGUGAUUUCUAAGGUCUGCCUCUGAUCAAUUUAAUCAUAGUUUCUGCUUCUUGGCUCUUUGAGAAUUCACUCCAAUGAUCUGAGUGAAGAAUCAAAGGUGUGGAUAUGAUUGUAGCUCUGGAUCAAUUGUGCCUGUCCACCCAUCAACCAAUCCAACCAUCCAUCCACCCAUCCACCUGUCAAAUCAUCCACCCACCCAACCACCCGUCCAUGCAUCCAUCCAUCCAGCCAUCUAUCUGUCCAUCCAUCUGGAGGAAUCGAUCCAUUCUUGGCUCUGCUGCUUAUGGUCCUCACGGUAAAGAGAUGAUUCUGACACAUCCCCCAGUCCAACGCCACCCGGACAAGCUCUCAGCCAUCACCUUCCUGUCCGUCAGCACCAGAGCUCGGGCCACGCCCUUCGGGGGCUGUGAGAGGCAACAAUCUGUGGACAAGGUGCUCUGCUAACAUCAAUGAGACUGGUUGAGAUACAACAAGACAAGACCAUUCUUAAGCCUGGGAAGAACAGACCAACGCCCUCACUUAGAGUUGGGAGAAAUCCCCUUUAAAUGACCAGAGAAAAUCCCCCCCCCUUCCAAUCUGAUAGAUUUGGGGGUUCCCAAUUCCAUUGGAAUGUGUGGGAAAGCCAGUCUCUCGCCCACGUUCUCAUUCCCUCAUGACUGCCAUGAGGAGCCUCUGCUCUCCUGUGUGUCUCAGGAUGAGGUGCUGUCCAGUGCGGACGGCUUGAGUCCGGUCUCUCUUUCCAAGUCGCUGUAAAGUCUGAGCCGAUCGGCACAAUCUGCAUCUAAUGCUUGUAAUGAGAUAUCCUUUCUCUGCUUCACUGCAGUGUCACUAACCUGGUAAUAAAGAUUCAAAGCAUCACAAAAAA